rnacentral:rRNA from 1 species
GAUGAACGCUGGCGGCGUGCUUAAUACAUGCAAGUCGAACGGAGAGCAGCAAUGUUCUUAGUGGCGAACGGGUGAGUAACGCGUUGGUGACCUGCCCCAAAGAGAGGGAUAACAGCUCGAAAGGGUUGCUAAUACCGCAUGUGGUUAUGUGAGUUAGAGCAGCAUAACUGAAGGCGAAAGCCGCUUUGGGAGGGGCCUGCGUCCCAUCAGCUAGUUGGUGAGGUAAGAGCUCACCAAGGCGACGACGGGUAGGGGGCCUGAGAGGGUCGACCCCCCACACUGGCACUGAAACACGGGCCAGACACCUACGGGAGGCAG